AAAAACACUUCUCUUGGUUUGGCAAUGACCAGAGAUGGAGGUGUGGUUACUAUCCUCUUUAAAACUCUCAUGGGGGCGCCUGGGUGGCUCAGUGGGUUAA